CUGAAAUCACAAAAGCUCCAACUGAGAGAUAGAG
rnacentral:sRNA from 1 species